rnacentral:rRNA from 1 species
AUGUCGCAGGGAUUAGACGCGAAACCUUGUGAUCUACCCUAGGUCAGGUUGAAGGGAGGGUAAAACCUCCUGGAGGACCGAACGCGUGAACGUUGAAAAGUUCUGCGAUGAACUUAGGGGAGGACUAAAAGUGUAAUCAAACUGGGAGAUAUCUCGUUCUCCUCGAAAUAGUUUUUGGGCUAGCCUCACUAAAUUGCCCGCAGGGGUAGAGCUACUGGAUGGUGUUGAGGGGCCGCAAGCCUGCUCAUGCCAACCAAACUCCGAAUACUGCGGAUUGCAUAGUGGGAGUCAGACUGUGGGCGAUAAUGUUCAUAGUCAAAAGGGAAACAACCCAGACCACCAGCUAAGGUCCCAAAUUAAGUCUCAGUUCUUAAGGAAGUCAGGGUGCAGUGACAACCAGGAUGUUGGCUUAGAAGCAGCCACCAUUUAAACAACGCGUAAUAGCGGACUGGUCGAGGACUCUGGCGCCGAUAAUGAUCGGGAAUCAAGACUUAAACCGAAGCUGUGGGCUCCGUAAGGAGCGGUAGAGGAGCGUUGUUGCCAGCGUCGAAGCGAGAUCUUAAGGUCUCGUGGAGCGGUAGCAAGUGCGUAUGCCGGCUUGAGUAACGAUAAAACAGGUGAAAAUCCUGUUCGCCGUAAACCUAAGGUUUCCUGGGGAAGGUAAAUCCGCCCAGGGUUAGUCGGUACCUAAGGAGAGGCCGAAAGGCGUAUUCGAUGGACAGCAGGUUAAUAUUCCUGCACCGUGUUAAAGGGUUGAAGCAGCGUGACGGACUUUCGGAGUGAGUCGCACGAUUAGACGUGUGCGUCUCGAAGGAGCGAGGGCUCGAUCCCGAAGCUCACGAAGAAAGUCUCAAGAAAUAGCGUCUGUGGACUGAUAACACGUCCGUACUAAAACUGACACAGGUAGGUGGGGUGAAUAACCUCAGGCGCUCGAGAGAACAGUCGUGAAGGAACUAGGCAAAUUAACCCCGUAAGUUAGCGAUAAGGGGGCCCUCCUCGCUUCGGCGAGAGGGCGCAGAGAAAAGGCUCUGGGAACUGUUUAUCAAAAACACAGGACUGUGCCAACUCUUAUAGAGGAAGUAUACAGUCUGACGCGUGCUCGAUGCUGGAAUGUCAAGGAAGCAGGUCAGCCGCAAGGCGAAGCUUGCGACUUAAGCACCAGUCAAUGGCGGCCGUAACUCUGACGGUCCUAAGGUAGCGAAGUUCCUUGUCGGGUAAGUUCCGACGCGCAUGAAUCGCGUAAUCACUGGAGCACUGUCUCCACGACUGACUCGGUGAAAUAGAAGACGCGGUGUAGAUACCGUGUACCCGCAGCAAGACGGAAAGACCCCGUGCACCUUUACUGUAGGCUGGUAUUGGCACGAAUACGUUCUGCGUAGGAUAGGUGGGAGGCUU